rnacentral:lncRNA from 1 species
GGCCAUGAUGGAAUAGACAAGGUUGCUUCUUCGUGGACCCUUCGUGGGUGGAGCCCUCCGUGGACUCUCGCAGCCGUUACCCUCCGUGGGUUGAAGUCUCCAUCAACGUGGAAGUACGAUAGCACCACCUAUCGGAACCACGAGAAAAAUCACCGCGUCUCCAAAAUUGCGUUUGCUCUUCUCCACCUCUCUUUACUACAUGUGCAAUUUACUUUCCGCUGCCUAUACUCUAGAAUUGCAUGUGUAGGGUGAUGCUUGACUUGAUCAUAAUUGUGAAUCUGCCAAAAACUGUUCUUUGUCAAAAGGCAGAAUUUUUAUAUUGUCAAGUAGUCUAAUCACCCCCCCUCUAGACAUACUUUCGAUCCUACAAGUGGUAUCAGAGCUUUGGUCUCCAUUGUAUUGGUUUCCAUUGCAUUGGACUCCAUAAGCUUGGUUUCACAACCUAGGAGAGUAUGGCGUCUAGUGAGGGUAAUUUUCGUAGAGGUCCUUACUUUGAUGGUACAAAUUUUGCUAGUUGGAAGCAUAAAAUGAAAAUGCAUAUUCUUGGCCAUAACGCAGCCGCAUGGGGCAUUAUUUGUGUUGGUAUGCAAGGUGAAUUCUUCGAGGAAGGAAAAGUUCCGGAUCGCGAAGCUACAACGGAAGAAUUGCGGAUGUUGCAAAACAAUGCUCAAGCUUGUGACAUUCUCUUCAAUGCCUUGUGUCCCGAGGAGUUCAACAAAAUCAGCCGUCUUGAGAAUGCAAAAGAGAUUUGGGAUACUUUGGUUGAAAUGCACGAAGGUACCGAGUCCGUGAAGGAAUCAAAGCUAGAUGUUCUUCAAGGUCAACUUGACAAGUUCAAGAUGAAGGAAGGUGAAGGAGUCGCUGAAAUGUACUCUAGGCUUGCUCUCAUCACAAAUGAGAUUGCCGGCUUAGGAAGCGAAGAAAUGACCGACCGAUUCAUCAUCAAGAAGAUUCUCAGAGCUUUGGAUGGAAAGUAUGACACCGUGUGCACUUUGAUCCAAAUGAUGCCAAACUACAAGAAUCUCAAGCCAACCGAAGUCAUUGGAAGAAUUGUUGCUCAUGAGAUGACACUUAAGGAUAAGGAAGAGCUUCACAACAAGUCAAGUGGUGCUUACAAAGCUACAAGUGAUGCUCCCACAACCUCAAGUGACAAGUUAGUUUCCAAUGAAGAGAUAAGCCUAAUGGUCAAGAACUUCAACAAAUUCUACAAGAAUAGAAGCAAAGAGAGAAGCUCAAAGUCUAGAUCAUAUGAUGAAAAGAGAUCUUCUAGUCGUGAUCGAAACUGCUACAAUUGUGGAAGACCCGGACACUACUCAAAUGAGUGUACAGCUCCCCACAAGAGAAGAGAAGAAUCUCCAAGAAGAAGAAGCUCAAGAGAUGAGUCACCUCGGAAAGAGAGAAGGAGCAGAGAUGAUCGUUAUGAACGAAGACCCUCUCGGAGAAGCAAGGAUUCGGAGAGGAAAGACAAGUCAUCAAGGAGCUACACAAGAAGAAAACAUCAAGCUCAUGUAGGUGAAUGGGUCUCCGGCUCCGACUCCGAUAAUCAAUCCGAAGGAAGCUAUCACUCCAACUCCGACUACAGUCAAGAUGAAGGUGUUGCCGGUCUUGCUCUCGUAUCCUCCAACUCCAACUCCUAUGACUUAUUUGAUUCACCAAAUGAGGGAAUUGGAAGAUGCUUCAUGGCUAAAGGCCCCAAGGUAUCACACCCUGAAUUCAUUGACUUCGAUAGUGAUGAGGAUGACUUGCUUGGUGAAGAUGAGCUCUUACUUGAUAAAUCCAAUGAACCUAGUAACAAUGAACAUGCUAGUAGUCUUUAUAGUCGAGAAGAGUCGAAUGACAAUGCUAUGAAGGAGAUUGAGCAUCUAACUAAAGAACUAAAAACUCUUAAGUUAGCUCAUGAAACAACUCAAGAAGAUCAUAGAGAGCUCCUAAGAUCUCAUGAGAAGCUACGCUUCGAGAAGCUCACUCUAGAGCAAGAACAUGAGUUUCUAAAAGCAAUCAAUGACGAUCUUCGAAAGAAGAGUUCUUCAUAUCUUGCCAAACGACUUAUCUUGUCUAAUUUCUUGCCACCCAUUAAGACUAAGCAUGACAAGCAUAAGAAAAAUUAUUCUUCUAGUAGUAACAAUAACCAUGCUAAAUCCAAUGUUGUUGCUUCUAGUAGUUCUCUUGAUUCCACUAACAAUGUUUCAAGCCAAGUUACACUUGAGCAAGAAAAUAGUUUAUUGAAAGGUAUCAUAGAGAAAGGUGUCUACAAGAGCCUUGACGGAAGCAAGAACUUUGAGGAAAUUGUUCGCAAGCAAGGAAGGCACCGGAAGAAUCAAGGAAUUGGUUUUGAGCGAAAGUUCAACGCCGAAGGUAUUGAAUGGGAAGAAGGUCAAUAUCCUACUCCAUAGUUUGUUCUUCAAAAGGAGAAGUAUGAUCCUACUUCUUCCAAUGUGGAACAAGCUCAAGAUGACCUUCCACCACAAGACCACAAGCUAAGAGGCAAGGACAAGCUUCAAGAGGAGAUUGAUGCAUUUGUUGAAGCACCUCAAGCCAUGGUCAAGUGGGUUCCCAAGGAAACGUCAAGUUCUACUUCGUCAAGCUACACCACAACCCCAAGGAUUCCCAUCAAGAUGAUGUGGAUCCCGAAGAAGAAGAACUAGAAAGUUCUUGAGGGUGACUCCGCCAACAUACUUCACUCACAUUCAUUUUGGCAAAAACUUGUGCAAUCAACUUCCACAUCGUGCACUAGUUCAUGGAGUCACAAACCCUCUUGUUGGUAAGUCAAGGGACAAGGUAAUCAUUGCUUUCAUGGACAUCAUCUAUUGUGAACUUCAAUCUAUGUCCAUGGAUAUUCUUGUUUGUUCCUUGUGGGACUAACCCAUGUAGGUAUUGAAAGUGCCCGAAUCCAAAGGAUUGCUCCCAACUCUUGAUGAUCUUCAUCAACAUUGAGCAUCCACAUCUUCAACAUCUACAUGAAGUCUUCUACGACAACCCAAGGUUAGUUUGACCCUUUAAAAGGGGUUCUCAAAUAUAGGGGGAGCUUUGCUCUAAAAAAUUGAGCUAAAGCAUCUUCAAAUUAUGUGAACACAUCAAUGCUUUAUGUAAAAGUGGUAACCCCACUUGUUCUUAAACGAUGAGUAUGACCUAUGAUCAAAUGUUCUCAUUUGGCUCCUAAGUCAAUAUACUCGUAUAAAGAUGACCUAGUCAUCGACAAAUUGUGUGUUAGUAGCUAGAGUUUUAGUUGUGCAUGUUUGACACAUAUUUCAUUUGCUAUCUUAUUGUGUGAGCAUGUUGGAUGCAUAAUUUUAUCCAUUCGAGGACAUCCAUUUGUUGUUUUGGUCGUUUUGAUUUUUCUAACCAAAUGGAUGGACAAGAAUGCCUAAGUACCUCCCCUAGCUAUCUAUGCUUUCUUGUCUCAAAUUCUAUUCAUGCUUACAUCACAAACUUUGAACAAGUCAUUUUCGGACCCUCCGGGUGAGGAGCACUCGGAGCCACCGAUCCGUCAAGGGCUAACUUCCAAAACCUUCUAAUUGAUUUCGGUUAGGCCAACUCACUCAAACUCGGUCGAACCGAAAGCAUUUAGACUGAUCUAGGUUUUCACCUCGGUGAAACCGGGUUGUGUUUUUCGGCGUGACCGAAGUGCAUAACUGCCUAGCAGUUAUCCAUCUCGGUGCCACCGAGUUUUACAACUCGGUCCCACCGACAGCAAAGGGGUAUAUAUACUCCGAGGGCCGCGCGCGUUGAUUCCUCCUUCAAAUGUUUCGCCCCCACACCCCUUGCUGCCAUCGCCUUGGUCUCCGGAUCGUCGCCGUCGUCGCCUGUGCGCCCUCGCCGCAGGUCUCCGUCGCCGUCAACGGACAUCUCCUCCGAGCCGUUGCUGCCGUAGAAAAACUCCACCAUGUUAGGGUGAGUUUUGAUCCCACUCGUGCUCCCAUCUCCGAUUCAAUGCACGUUUGGAUUUCCUAGUAUCUUGCCACGAUUGAAAUCCUCCUGUACACCAGAUUAGUUCGUUUGGACUAGAUUCGAGUAAAAGUUUUAGGGUUAGGUUUCCGCCGAACACAUCUCGGUGAGACCGAUUUUAUAGUUUCGGUAUGACCGAUUUGGCCUAUGGCCAUUGCACUGCACCCUUCGGUCCAACCGAGUUGUGCAAAUCGGUGUGAUCGAAAUGAAAUUUCUGUGAAACCCUAGUGUUUUCGGCAGGACGGAAACCCACUUCGGUCAAACCGAAAGUGGUGUGAAAGCUCCUGUUUAACACUUCGGAUUCACCGAAACUUAAACUCGGUCUGACCGAAAUGUCUUCUGUGAAAACCUAAUACUAGAAUUUGAACUCAUUUUGUUUGCAAAAACUUCUGCAUUUGUGAUGACUCUUCUUCUCUGCCUGCACCUUAUCUAUUCACAGGUUGUCAGCCAUGUCAGAUGCCAGUGACAGUCAGAACAGGUCAAAGAUUUUCUUCUUCUGUUGAAGAAUGGGCAGAAAUUCUGAAUGCUCCAGUGCAACGAGACGAUGAUAUUGAUGUAUAUGGGAUUCCAAAGAAGAAUCAUGAAUCCAUGAAGAACAUGUACAAAGAGGUUCCAGCAAAGGAUUUGGGAAUCUGGAAGCUCGGCUCAGUCUACUAUCUCCAGGCAGGCCUACCUACCACCAAUACUAUUUUGAGGCAUACCUUGAUGCCCAAGUCUGGAGAUCAUCGCAUGAUCAGAGGAUACUCUAUCAACAUGCUGCAUAUACUUGAUGAGAAAGCACCUUUCAAGGUGAUGGACUUGAUGGUAGAGACCAUUAAGAGGACUGCAGCUGACCAGAAAAGGUCAUGUGGAUUUGCCCCGCAGAUUCAGAUGCUUAUCAAUGCCAAGUUUGGCACGGGCACAUUCUUGUUGGAUAGAGAACAUUUACCGUUGCAGCCAGAGCAUGAAGACAAUGUUGUUGUGAUGGAUGAGGAGGAUCCAACAUCUGUUGAAGGUCAAGCCAAGAUCGAAGCUGCCAAGAAAGCCAAAGCUGACAAGGAAGCAGCAGCAGCAGCAACUAAACCAAAGAGUUUCGGAGAGCAAAUUCUUGAAGCUACCCAAAGGAUUGAACAAUGCCUGGCCAGCAUUGUACAGUCUCAGGAGAGCCUAGAGAGGAUUGUUGAAGACAAGAUCCACGCUCUGGAUGUGAAGCUGACUGAAGUGCAAGUGACUGUCAACAAGCUUGAGGCAGACAUUGAGGAAGCAAAGCGGGAGAAGGAAGAGCUUAUGCGUGAGAUGCAGGAUGACUUAGUCCAAGAUGCUUAUCAAUAGACUGCUCCGGUUCCCAUAGGACCCCGAUCAGCUGCUAUUCCAGUGACUGACACCAGGACCACAGCUUCAGCACCUCCCACAGUUCCAGUUGCUCCUACUCCAGCUCCAGCUCCAGUGACCACUUCUCCAGCACAGACAUCAGCUGAAGUCUUCGCCGAUGCUGUCAUAUCCACUCCGACAUCAACCCAGACGGGAGCCACCAGCAGAGUCCCCAGUGACGCUUAGCUCUAUGCUUUUUCAAACUUUUUGGUAACUUGUUGCCAAAGGGGGGAGAAAUUGUAUAGAUCAUAGGACUUCGAGAGAGAGAGAGUGCUCUUGUCUUUGCGCUUUUGCUCUUUCGUUCUUUUGCGGUUUCUUUGAGAUACUUUUGGUUUUCGAGACAUUCAGUGUGUUUGAUACUACGUUUGAUUCUACAAUAAUGAGUGCUUGGUCGUACUAUGCUUUAAUGUGUGCUUAAUGCUUAUCAUAUGCCAUUCCUAUCUUGUAUGACCAUUUACUCAUGUCUUGGUGAUUGGGUGCAUGCUAUUCAUUCUUAUCAUUUUGUGCGCUCCACCAAGAUGUAUGUGACAUGGAAGAGUGACCCAUGAUCCUAAUCGAUUGUGCAUUUGCAUUCAAACGCAAAUCUUAAAUAAUGCACAAAUUUAGGGGGAGCUCUUGCUUAUCACAUACUUCUCAAAGCGAUGAUAUUAUUCAUUGAUUAUAUCCUUUGUCGAAGCUUUGAUCUAUAUGUUGUCAUCAAUUACCAAAAAGGGGGAGAUUGAAAGUGCAACUAAUCCCCGGGUGGUUUUGGUAAUUAAUAACAACAUAUAUAUCAUUGAACUAAUAGUUACUUGAGAAUCAUUUCAGAAAGUUCAGUGAUAUGGGUAUGGCAAGGACUGAAGAAGUGGACCCCUCAAAAUGCUAAGGCAAGCAUUGGCAAAAGCUCAAGACUCCAUUUUUGGUUUAGUGAUCCAAGAUCACAUUGAGUCCAUAGGAAAGCCAAUACUAUUAAAAGGGGAUGAGGUUAUGAUGAUGAUCUGGUUGCUCAAGUGCUUAGUGAUACAUCUCCUAAACUAUCAGCAACUUUCACUGCCAUAUACACUCAUAAGUAGUCUCGGUCCCACCGAUAUUCCAAACUCAGUCACACCGAGAUGAACCACCUCAGCCAUAAAGCCAAACCCUAGCAAACUCGGAUUUUCCGAUUCGGAACUCGGUCUCACCGAAAAAUGAGCUGCCAAGCUUCUGUAACCUUCUGUCAUCAAAUCGGUGUCACCGAGAUGAUGAAGUCGGUCCCACCGAAAUUGGCAUGCUCUUGUCAUUGCACGAAUCGGACUCACCGAGAUUGUAUUUUCGGUCCCACCGAAAAUCCCAACGUUCACAUUAUUUGAACUUUCGGUCUCACCGAGUUGUCAACUUCGGUCGCACCGAGAUUGCUCAAAUGUGUGUAACGGUUGGAUUUUGUGUGGAGGCUAUAAAUACCCCUCCACCCCCUCUUCAUUCGUGGAGAGAGCCAUCAGAAAGAACUACCACUCCUACCUUACAUUUCUGAGAAGAGAACUACCUACCCUUGUGUUGAGAUCAAGUUGCUCCACUCCCACCAUAUGAAGCUUGAUCUCUAGCCUUCCCAAGUUGCUUUCCACUCAAUCCUUUCUUCCACCACAGCCAAAUCAGUGAGGAGAGUUGAGUGUUGGGGAGAUUAUCAUUUGAAGCACAAGAGCAAGGAGUUCAUCAUCAUCUACACCAUAUAUUACCUUUUGGAGGGUGGUGCCUCCUAGAUUGGUUAGGUGUCGCUUGGGAGCCUGCGUCGAGAUGUGGAGUUGAACCAAGAAGUUUGUAAGGGCAAGGAGAUCGCCUACUUCGUGAAGAUCUACCCCGAGUAAGGCUAGCCCUCCAUGGGCGUAGGCCAUGAUGGAAUAGACAAGGCUGCUUCUUCAUGGACCCUUCGUGGGUGGAGCCCUCCGUGGACUCUCGCAGCCGUUACCCUCCGUGGGUUGAAGUCUCCAUCAACGUGGAAGUACGAUAGCACCACCUAUCGGAACCACGAGAAAAAUCACCGCGUCUCCAAAAUUGUGUUUUCUCUUCUCCACCUCUCUUUACUACAUGUGCAAUUUACUUUCCGCUGCCUAUACUCUAGAAUUGCAUGUGUAGGGUGAUGCUUGACUUGAUCAUAAUUGUGAAUCUGCCAAAAACUGUUCUUUGUCAAAAGGCAGAAUUUUUAUAUUGUCAAGUAGUCUAAUCACCCCCCCUCUAGACAUACUUUCGAUCCUACAGCC